rnacentral:rRNA from 1 species
CAUGUGGCUUAAUUUGACUCAACGCGGGAAAUCUUACCGGGUCCGGACAUAUCGAGGAUUGACAGACAGUUACCAUGCCCUUUCGAAAGGAGUCAGGUUUUAAACCUAAUGGCUCUUUCAUGAUUAUAUGAUAGGUGGUGCAUGGCCGUUCUUAGUUCGUGGAGUGAUCUGUCUGCUUAAUUGCGUUUCAAAUUUUUAUUUGAGGACCAGGUUUUGGUUUGGGUAGUGGUCCUACGAUGACGUGAACUGUCAUGUCUUCGGAUGUGCGACUAUCGGUCUAGGAUCGCAUCUCAGCCCCUGGGACUCUUUUGAACGCAACGGACGUGAUUGCAACCCCUUGUUGAGAUUAGAGGAGUCUCGAUAUUCAUUGGCCAAACUUACCGCUUCGAGCUUGCUCGUGCAGUUUUGUUAGCCGGUGGAUAAACUCGGGGGACUGCUGACUAUAACCAUUUCUCAAAACAGAGGAAGGUUGCGGCAAUAACAGGUCUGUGAUGCCCUUAGAUGUCCCGGGCU